GUGAAUCAUCGAAUUUUUGAACGCAAAUUGCACUCUCUUCUGAGAGUAUGCCUGUUUGAGUGUCAGCCUAAAAAAAAUCGAUAUCGUUGCUGUUGCGCUGGGGCGUUCGUCGGAAAUUUGGUUAUCUUAAACCUUUUUUUUGUUUUUGUUGGAGGGACUUAAAGUUUUGCGUCACGCUGCCAUGAGA
rnacentral:misc_RNA from 1 species